CUUUGCUUCAGUCGCCAUUUUAACUGCGCAGCACGAAGACAGACUGAUUAGAAUGGAAACUUCCAGCCUGUCAUAACUCCAUUUUCUCUCGUGUGAUCACUGGAC